ensembl:snRNA U6 U6 spliceosomal RNA
GUGCUUGCUUCAGCAGCAUAUAUACUAAAAUUGGUACGAUACAGAGAAGAUUAGCAUGGCACUUGCCCAAGGAUGACAUGUAAAUUCAUGAAGUGUUCCAUAUUUUU